UGGAAUCGAGUGGCAAACGGGUGAGUAACACGUAAACAACCUGCCUUCAGGAUGGGGACAACAGACGGAAACGACUGCUAAUACCGAAUACGCUUGGAAGACCGCAUGAUCUUCCAAGGAAAGGGUGGCCUCUACCUGUAAGCUAUCGCCUGAAGAGGGGUUUGCGUCUGAUUAGGCAGUUGGUGAGGUAACGGCCCACCAAACCUACGAUCAGUAGCCGGUCUGAGAGGAUGAACGGCCACACUGGAACUGAGACACGGUCCAGACUCCUACGGGAGGCAGCAGUGGGGAAUCUUCCGCAAUGGGCGAAAGUCUGACGGAGCAACGCCGCGCGAGUGAUGACGGCCUUCGGGUUGUAAAGCUCUGUGAUCGGGGACGAACGGUCCGUAAGCCAAUACCUUAUGGAAGUGACGGUACCCGAAUAGCAAGCCACGGCUAACUACGUGCCAGCAGCCGCGGUAAUACGUAGGUGGCAAGCGUUGUCCGGAAUUAUUGGGCGUAAAGCGCGCGCAGGCGGCUUUCUAAGUCCAUCUUAAAAGUGCGGGGCUUAACCCCGUGAUGGGAUGGAAACUGGAAAGCUGGAGUAUCGGAGAGGAAAGUGGAAUUCCUAGUGUAGCGGUGAAAUGCGUAGAGAUUAG
rnacentral:rRNA from 1 species